GACGAACGCUGGCGGCGUGCUUAACACAUGCAAGUCGAACGAGAAUCUGUGGAAAGAGGAUUCGUCCAAUUGAAGCAGAGGACAGUGGCGGACAGGUGAGUAACGCGUGAGGAACCUGCCUUUCAGAGGGGGACAACAGUUGGAAACGACUGCUAAUACCGCAUAAUGCAUAGAAGUCGCAUGGCUUUUAUGCCAAAGAUUUAUCGCUGAAAGAUGGCCUCGCGUCUGAUUAGCUGGUUGGUGAGGUAACGGCCCACCAAGGCGACGAUCAGUAGCCGGACUGAGAGGUUGAACGGCCACAUUGGGACUGAGAUACGGCCCAGACUCCUACGGGAGGCAGCAGUGGGGAAUAUUGGGCAAUGGGCGCAAGCCUGACCCAGCAACGCCGCGUGAAGGAAGAAGGCUUUCGGGUUGUAAACUUCUUUUGUCAGGGACGAGAAGAAGACGGUACCUGACGAAUAAGCCACGGCUAACUACGUGCCAGCAGCC
rnacentral:rRNA from 1 species